rnacentral:lncRNA from 1 species
CACAACAUUAAGAAAACAACAUGUAAAUGAACAGCUUCUCUACCAGGAAAUUCAGUCAUCUGGGUAUGGUACUCCAACAAGAUAUCCGGAUGGCACUGCCUUCCUAAGAAGGAUGUCAGUUGCAAAGGCAGAGAAGGAACUGGACAGAACAUCAAAUGAUUUAUGCAGAGCAGAUUUAUGGGAAUCCUGUCAGGGAACCCAGUAAGACAAACUUCAGGAUUGCCUCUGCCCCCUGCUGCCACUGAUUCUGUGCUGCUGGACCAUAGAGAUAAAGAGGAGCCAAAAGAGUCUUCACUGGAAAGAAGACAGCAACAAGGAUCAAAGACAGCAUCCAGUCACCUGAAGAAAGCCAGGUUAUGGAGCACUGCAGCUAUUUUCCUCCAGCCUGAGCAUACAGGAAUGAAGUGUGCUUUCCUGCAUGUGCUGUGCCUUAGCAUUCAUGAGCAUCCUCAUGAAGCCAAGCUGUGAGUCAAUGCUGUGUCAAACUACAGGGAAGAAGAAUAUCAGUCAUAUGGCAUUCUUAAUCACGAGGGGAAAUGGAUUUGACUAAAUGAAUAUGCAAAUGCCAAUUUACAAUUAAAUCAUGAGCUCUUCCUGAUGUGCAAAAUGCCCUGGUGAAAAAUAUGUUACUGUAUCGGUUCUUGUCACAUGCUGGGUGGAUGGGGGAAGAGCGGUAGAUGUAGUCUACCUUGAUUUUAGAAAGGCAUUUGAUACUUUCUCCCACGGCAUCCUUAUAACAAAACUGAGGAAGUGUGGGAUAGAUGAGUGGACAGUGAGGUGGGUUGAAAACUGGCUGACUGGCAGAGCGCAGAGGGUCGUCGUUGGUGGUGCAGAGUCUGGCUGGAGACCUGUAACCAGUGGUGUCCCCCAGGGGUCUGUGCUGGGUCCGGUCUUGUUCAACAUCUUC